UACGUAGGGUGCAAGCGUUGUCCGGAAUUAUUGGGCGUAAAGAGCUCGUAGGCGGUCUGUCGCGUCGGCUGUGAAAACUCGGGGCUCAACCCCGAGCCUGCAGUCGAUACGGGCAGACUAGAGUGCGGUAGGGGAGACUGGAAUUCCUGGUGUAGCGGUGAAAUGCGCAGAUAUCAGGAGGAACACCGGUGGCGAAGGCAGAUCUCUGGGCCGUAACUGACGCUGAGGAGCGAAAGCAUGGGGAGCGAACAGG
rnacentral:rRNA from 1 species